UUAACUCAUAUUUGUAUGGAAUGGGAUCGUUUGCCUACGUUUGCCGCUAGGGGCGUUGUUACAACUGCAUACAAAUUUAAAAAA
rnacentral:pre_miRNA from 1 species